CGCGUAGGCGGAUAGUUUAGUCAGAGGUGAAAGCCCAGGGCUCAACCUUGGAAUUGCCUUUGAUACUGGCUAUCUUGAGUUCGGGAGAGGUGAGUGGAAUGCCGAGUGUAGAGGUGAAAUUCGUAGAUAUUCGGCGGAACACCAGUGGCGAAGGCGACUCACUGGCCCGAUACUGACGCUGAGGCGCGAAAGCGUGGGGAGCAAACAGGAUUAGAUACCCUGGUAGUCCACGCUGUAAACGAUGAGUGCUAGUUGUCGGCAUGCAUGCAUGUCGGUGACGCAGCUAACGCAUUAAGCACUCCGCCUGGGGAUACGGUCGCAAGAUUAAAA
rnacentral:rRNA from 1 species